GCUCCUAGAGAUUACUGUAAUUUAGGUCUACAGUUCUACUCAUUGAAGAUUCUGACCGACUUAACCAAGCGAAUUAAGCAAGCUCUCAUAUGUCAUUCCACAUUUCUAUAGUAUCGCACUUGCUGAGAUGUUAUCUUACUGCGUGCUGUUCUCUUGCCGCAGAAGUUAUACCGGAAAGGACCACAUCCCUAGCCCGCUUCUUGGAGAGACGUCGCAAGCUAAGGCAGGAGAAUGCAGCAUGCCUUACCCUCACAGAGAGAAAUCUCCUGCUAAAAUGGACGCGUUCCCAGCAGUUCCGCGCGAAGCAAAAAACCGUUCGGCAACAUGGAACAGCCAUGGAACUCCGGAAAUCCAAAGAACAUGAACGAAAGUCACGAUGAUAAGGCACUGAAUACUGAGCUAAGGAUCUAGCUGCUGUAAAAUCGUCGGCUCGAAUUCUGGAUUCAGUUUACACUAAUCUUCUUGCCAAUCCAGGCCAAAUCUUGGAUUCAGUCUGCCGCAUUAAUUGUUGAGCCGUCUGACUAGAAAUCUUAUGGCGCAUGCAUUGGAUGGCAAGAGCUUGUCAUAGAGUUUCUUCUUUUGAUUCUGAUUGCUGACCACAUUUUUGGGUUCAUGUGUGAUGUUUGCCAGCAGUUUCUCUUGAAACUGAGACAUCAUAACCCAUUUCCACUUCGUCUUCUUCACGAUAAAAUUAUUCGGGUUCAUUCAGAUCGUUGCUCAGUCUGGUUAGAAACCCCUUAAAUACGAUCAGCUAAUUAAUCUGUCGUAUCUGAUCAUUGUAACUGCUAAUUGCACUUCUUCACUGUCAUCUGUACAAUUUUUGGUUCAUUUGUUCGUGCUGGAAUACAUAUGAUUUAUUA